UGAUAGCAGAGAAGCGCGAGGUUGCUACAUAAUUAAAUGUAGGUUUUCCGUGGAGCGAAUGUCAAGUUAGAAAACUGGCGACAA
rnacentral:ncRNA from 1 species